UACGUAGGGCCCGAGCGUUAUCCGGUAUUAUUGGGCGUAAAGCGCGCGUAGGUGGUUUGGUAAGACAGUGGUGAAAGAUCCGGGCUCAACCCGGGGAACGCCACUGUUACUGCCAGACUCGACGAUAGCAGGGGCAAGCAGAAUUCUCGGUGUAGGGGUGAAAUCCGUUGAUCCAUUGAAGACCACCAGUGGCGAAGGCGGCUUGCCAGAAUGCGCUCGACGGUGAGGGAUGAAAGCUGGGGGAGCAAACCGG
rnacentral:rRNA from 1 species